rnacentral:rRNA from 1 species
CCAGACUCCUACGGGAGGCAGCAGUGGGGAAUAUUGGACAAUGGGCGCAAGCCUGAUCCAGCCAUGCCGCGUGUGUGAAGAAGGCCUUAUGGUUGUAAAGCACUUUAAGCGAGGAGGAGGCUACUUUAGUUAAUACCUAGAGAUAGUGGACGUUACUCGCAGAAUAAGCACCGGCUAACUCUGUGCCAGCAGCCGCGGUAAUACAGAGGGUGCAAGCGUUAAUCGGAUUUACUGGGCGUAAAGCGCGCGUAGGCGGCUAAUUAAGUCAAAUGUGAAAUCCCCGAGCUUAACUUGGGAAUUGCAUUCGAUACUGGUUAGCUAGAGUGUGGGAGAGGAUGGUAGAAUUCCAGGUGUAGCGGUGAAAUGCGUAGAGAUCUGGAGGAAUACCGAUGGCGAAGGCAGCCAUCUGGCCUAACACUGACGCUGAGGUGCGAAAGCAUGGGGAGCAAACAGGAUUAGAUACCCUGGUAGUCCAUGCCGUAAACGAUGUCUACUAGCCGUUGGGGCCUUUGAGGCUUUAGUGGCGCAGCUAACGCGAUAAGUAGACCGCCUGGGGAGUACGGUCGCAAGACUAAAACUCAAAUGAAUUGACGGGGGCCCGCACAAG